rnacentral:rRNA from 1 species
GACAGAGGAUGCAAGCGUUGUCCGGAAUGAUUGGGCGUAAAGCGUCUGUAGGUGGCUUUUUUAAGUCCGCCGUCAAAUCCCAGGGCUCAACCCUGGACAGGCGGUGGAAACUACCAAGCUGGAGUACGGUAGGGGCAAGGAGGAAUUUCCGGUGGAGCGGUGAAAAUGCGUAGAGAUCGGAAAGAACACCAACGGCGAAAGCACUCUGCUGGGCCGACACUGACACUGAGAGACGAAAGCUAGGGGGAGCGAAUGGG